UGCCAGUCUCCGCAUGUAUAACACCAUAUCCAUCAUCCUCUGCAACUUAAAAUAUAACAUUGUCCACUGCCAGCACAGGUGGUUUCGCCAUUCACUCUGAAUGUGUACAUGUUUUCCACCUGUCUGCAAGCAGAGUUAUUGCAGGCCAACAUCUUCUAGACAGUGUGUUGUUUUACAGUUGAUGCCUUGUCUGUGUGAUGAAUUGCGCUGCUGAGUGGUGGAGAGGGUCACUGUCUUCACAGUACAAACUUGUAAUUUAUAAUCCAGUUUUCCCAGUGAGAAGCUCCAUGCGGCUUUAGCGUAAUGGGAUUUCACUCUCUGUAUUUCCAGUGUCUUUGAUUUCAGAUUUAUUUUGUCCCACUUUGUCACUUUUUGGUUCAUGUUGUCUUCACAUGUCUCAUGAAAAUGUCAUAACUGUUCACUAACAGGCUGAUAAAGAAGCUGUCAGUAUCAACAGUGGUGAUGAUAUAUGUUGUAUGAUAGGGUGAGCGGGGUCACAGGGGCCCUCCAGGACGAGAUGGGGCCCCAGGGAGAGAUGGGGAAAAUGGAGAAGAUGGUCAGCCUGGGUCACCUGGUGCUCCUGGAUCACAGGGCCUGUGGGGAUACAGGGGAGAACGAGGGUCCAAAGGGGAGAAAGGUGAUGAGGGUCUCAUUGGCCUCAAGGGUCCAAGAGGGGAAAUUGGCGACCCUGGUGAGAAGGUACUCAUGGGUGCAAUUAAAUUAUCAACAAUCCUAAUUAUUUAAAAUAGAAUGUGAAUUUGUCCCAGCAGAAAGCUUUUUUCUUACAUGACUUACACACAACGCUGCACAAUACUAAUGAAAGAAUUCUGGCCCUUAGUGGCUUGUUUUCAUGAGGUAUGAAGACGAGGUCUUAACAAUACAAUAUAGUGUAAUGAUCUUGGACUGUGUUUUUUCUUUGUCUAGGGCUCAACUGGUGCACCUGGCAGACCUGGUCUUGUCGGACCACCAGUGAGUGUCUUCUACCCUCCUUGUUUAGUUCUUUUAUGAGUGCAACAAACCAGGAAUUUCUGCA
rnacentral:lncRNA from 15 species